rnacentral:tRNA from 1 species
GCGGGUGUAGCUCAGUGGUAGAGUACUACCUUGCCAAGGUAGGUGUCGAGGGUUCAAGUCCCUUCACCCGCUCCA